rnacentral:SRP_RNA from 1 species
UCAGGUAAGAAGCAGGUAGAUUAUCUAUUUAACCCAGUCAGAUCUGAAAGGAAGCAGCUGUAUAAUUUUUGUCUAGGUUGUUUCUUACCGUUUUU